UGUCCAUGAAUAACUGUGUCUUGGAGCCGACGAGCUUUUUAUUCAUCUGCAUGUAGUCCAGAUAGCUAGAGAUGCCCAUGUGUAUUCCUUGACCAGGUAUAACCUGUAGUAUAUGGAUUGUCCUGAUUUUUUUAGUCACUACAGAAUGAAGGCUACUUUUUUUUCUUUUCACUUGUGUUAUGUACCUCGUCGGAGGAGGUUGAGUACAUGUGAGUUUUGAUAAUAAUUAUUUGUAUUUAGUGAUUCUAUACUUAUUUUCUACUAAUUCAACGUAUAAAAAAAAUGCUGACUUGCUGUGUCCCGGGAUAUAGAACUGGUCAUCGUAAGUCAUAAGGAUCUGAACGUCAUUCGGAUUCUACAACCAUCGAACUCAAGCAUUGUUUACAUGUAUUCCCAAAUAAUAAAUAACUGAAGGAUAAGCGGAUAAGAGCCAUACGCAGGAAAAAUUUUGUUCCUACUAAAAUGCUCGUGUUUGCAGUUGUCAUUUUCAUGAAUCAUACUACUCGAAAGAAUGAAGAGACUCGAAUACUUAUAGAAAGCAUAUUGACUUAAAGCGUGAAAAAACUUAAGCCCGAUGCAGUAUAUGAGCUAUAUUUCCUGAUCCUCAAGCAUAUUUAUCCGUCUUACCUACGCCCACAAGAUCGACUUCACUAUCGACUACUAAAACUAGGUUAGUUUUAUCAAUCAUUUUAUUAUUUUCAGAGUCGAAAGUGAGAAAAAACAACUUGACUUAAUUGAAUCAUUUCGAAAAAAUUAACGAUAAAAUCGAUAGGACAUGUUUACCUGAACAUACUCAUGACAUCUACGAGGGAGACUUUGUUAUACUUUUUGCCAUUUCGACUCAUUCUGUUGUACCUGGAUUAAGUUACGGAAUCAAAAUAUAUAAAAACCUAUCGUUUGAAAUAUUUUCGAAUGAGCUCCCAGUUUGAAGCAUAUUACAUCUCCAUCAUCGAAUAUUACUUUGCACAGUAAACUAAUACAAUCAUCAUUAAAAGAAGAAUCUAUAUGGAAUGACCAUCUGGAACUAAUUUCUUAACAACUUGAUUUGCAUUUGCAACAUCCUAAGCGAAUGAGGUAUUCGCCUAAGCUCCUUGGAAUAUCUACUUUGUGGAAAAAUACUAGUCCAGUUUUCUCUAACUUAAGUUGCGAAUCAGGACUCAUCCAACUACCUACUGUCAACUAUUUAAAAAGAUAAGAAUAUUUGAAGUCACAGGUGGUGUGAACAAUUCGGCGAUUGACUAACUAUCUUUACGAAUGAAGAGUUUGGAUUCGAAGGAGAGAUAUAUAUCUAUUAUAAUCAAGGUUGUGCCCUUUGCGGUCUUUUGCUUCUAUUAGUUCAAACUGUUCCGAUUCUUGAACCACUAGAACCGGAAAAGUCGAACCGAGACCGUAAUGUAUUGAUUAUCGAUCUCAGUUCUUGUGCUUUUUUUCCUAUAUAAAAUAUAUAUUAUAAAAAAUGAA
rnacentral:lncRNA from 1 species